rnacentral:rRNA from 1 species
AACUAACGCUGGCGGCGUGCCUAACACAUGCAAGUCGUACGAGAAAGCCGGCUUCGGCUGGUGAGUAAAGUGGCGCACGGGUGAGUAACGCGUGGAUAAUCUGCCCUUAAGUGUGGAAUAACGUACCGAAAGGUGCGCUAAUACCGCAUAAUGCCUGGCAACACAAGUUGUCCGGCCAAAGAAGGCCUCUGUUUACAAGCUUUCGCUUCAGGAUGAGUCCGCGUACCAUUAGCUUGUUGGUGGGGUAAUGGCCUACCAAGGCUGCGAUGGUUAGCUGGUCUGAGAGGAUGAUCAGCCACACUGGAACUGAGACACGGUCCAGACUCCUACGGGAGGCAGCAGUGAGGAAUAUUGCGCAAUGGGGGCAACCCUGACGCAGCAACGCCGCGUGAGUGAGGAAGGUUUUCGGACUGUAAAGCUCUGUCGAGCGGGAAGAAGUGUACCAUGGCUAAUAUCCAUGAUAUUUGACGGUACCGCUAGA